GUUCCAUGCGGAAGGGAACAUCUCGUGCUAGAAACAAUCAGAUUAAACUACUGCGCUCUACAUACACCUACAACUCAAGCCUAUAUUGAAGCUGAAAAUGACACAGAAGCUGGCUGCCUGCUUGAAUAUUUUUCUGUUCAUAUCAGAGACCUGAAAUAAAGAACACGAGCCCAGACACACCAUUAUAUAUCCACCAUCUACUCACUACCAAAUCAAUUUAUCUAAAACCAGCAUC